GAGGAACUGUGUCUCUGUGGGGGUGGAUUAUGAGGUCACUUGGUGCUCAAGUUCCAAGUAAUGUUCUUGGAUGCCUUUUGAUCAAGAUAUAGAAUUCUUGGUUCUUCUGGUACCAAGUCUAUCUAUAAGAUGCCAUGUUUCCCAACAUGAUGAACAUGGACUGAACCCCUAAAACUACACAGCUUUGAACCCUCGCAGUUCCUUGCUGUCAUCUAUCAGUGCCUCCAAGAGGGAGAGACCUGGUCGUCCCUAUGUAGGAGGACAUUUUGUGGAGCCCCUUGAUCUUCUGUUGUCAUCCUUGGCAAACUUCUUGUACAGGGCAGAGUGUUCCAGCUGCUCUGACACCAGAGGAUUCUGCACAGGAAUCUCUUGCUGAAUCCAGUCAUGCCGAGCCACAAUUGCUUCAUCAUAGGCCAGACAGUUAACACCUUCGGGGGUGCUGUCCAGAGGCUUCUGCUUCUGAUGCGGAGCUUCCUCUGCUUCCACCUUUAAACGGCACCUCACUUUUCCGUCUCAAUCUUAAUUAUGUGGUAUCUAAAGUGUAAACGAUUUUAAGUUAAUGUAUAGAACUUGAAAGCUUAAAAUAUACAUUCUAUUUGCGACAUAUAAAAAAAAAAGUUGCCUUGGUCAUGGUAUCUCUGUAUGAAAAAUGAAACCCAAACUAAGACACCGUUGCCUCGUACAAUUGUUCAGUGAGUUUCUAUACCCCAAGUGUUUAAACCUCCUCUGUUGUGCACUUUUAGAUGUGGGUUCACAGUUACUUAUUUUAAUCUCUUUCAUGAUUGCAUUGAAUAAUAUUUUUUUUAAUUUUACUGUGUCUAGGGGAACGUUUAAUUUAAUAUGCUUUCUGCAUAUUAAAAUUAAAUUAAUUUUUUCUGGUUACAUAAACUUAUUUGUACAUAUCUAGUAAAUAUAGACAUUGUCCACAAACCCUGCUGAAUACAGUGUACAUACAUUGCCAUUCUAGCAGAUACUUUAAGGAAGAUUUGGGGAAAAUGUUAAAUUUGUGUUUCUUUUGUUAAAUAUCUCAAAGCUUAUUUUUGAAAGAUUUAAUUGGGUACUCUAAUGCCAUUUAACUUGAAACUACUUACUCAGUUUUGAAUUAUCUGGGACCCCAACCAAGAUAAUGCAAUAUAACAGGGCCUGCUUUAGAUAGUCAGGAUUUGGAUGCUAAUGUAAAGCAAAGGUUAUAUGAAGUAUAAACUUACACAUUCUUGAUCAAAACCUGUUACUUUUUAGUUUUACCCUUUGUAUAUCAAUGUAAAUUACCACAAAAUAUAAAUAAAACCAUCUACAGAUUUA